AGUAAUCGCGGAUCAGCAUGCCGCGGUGAAUACGUUCUCGGGCCUUGUACACACCGCCCGUCACACCAUGGGAGUCGGUAACACCCGAAGUCUGUAGCCUGACGCAAGAGGGCGCAGCCGAAGGUGGGAUUGAUGACUGGGGUGAAGUCGUAACAAGGUAAC
rnacentral:rRNA from 1 species